UCCUUGGUGGCUCAUAUGGUAAAGCAUCUGCCUGCAACGUGGGAGACCCAGGUUUGAUCCCUGGGUUGGGAA
rnacentral:tRNA from 1 species